rnacentral:rRNA from 1 species
AGAGCGAACGCUGGCGGCAGGCCUAACACAUGCAAGUCGAACGGACCCUUCGGGGUUAGUGGCGGACGGGCGAGUAACACGUGGGAACGUGCCUUUAGGUUCGGAAUAGCUCCUGGAAACGGGUGGUAAUGCCGAAUGUGCCCUUCGGGGGAAAGAUUUAUCGCCUUUAGAGCGGCCCGCGUCUGAUUAGCUUGUUGGUGAGGUAAUGGCUCACCAAGGCUACGAUCAGUAGCUGGUCUGAGAGGAUGACCAGCCACAUUGGGACUGAGACACGGCCCAAACUCCUACGGGAGGCAGCAGUGGGGAAUCUUGCGCAAUGGGCGAAAGCCUGACGCAGCCAUGCCGCGUGAAUGAUGAAGUCUAUAGGAUUAGGUAAAAUUC